rnacentral:rRNA from 1 species
CGGUAAUACGGAGGGUGCGAGCGUUAAUCGGAAUUACUGGGCGUAAAGCGCAUGCAGGCGGCCCUGUUAAGUCAGAUGUGAAAGCCCGGGGCUUAACCUCGGAAUUGCAUUUGAAACUGGCAGGCUAGAGUCUUGUAGAGGGGGGUAGAAUUUCAGGUGUAGCGGUGAAAUGCGUAGAGAUCUGAAGGGAAUACCAGUGGCGAAGGCGGCCCCCCUGGACAAAGACUGACGCUCACGAUGCGAAAGCGUGGGGACGCAAACAGGAUUAGAUACCCUGGUAG